rnacentral:lncRNA from 1 species
AACACAGCAGAGGAUGCAGUGGUGCCUGGAGAGUCUAUUGGGAACGGACUGUCCCCAGGCAGAGGUCACAAUGAAGCAUUCAGGGUGUCAGGAUCUGUAGUCCCCUGUGGGGGGCUGGCUAGCCAGGUCAGAGAACCAGAGUCCCCCAGUACAUGGGCAGGGGGUUUACAGACCGACCCCACUAAGUCCCUUCUCCCCACGAUGAUGUAAUGGUAUUUCUCAGCAGACAAUGCACACGUAUGGAGCCCUUCUUUGCACGCUAUAGAGAUAUAUUUGCUACCCAGGAUAAAAUCAAGGUUGUCGCUGAGGAGCGAGUUUAUGAUUCUGCCUCUGUGAAGUCCCUAAGGAAAAGGCAGUGAACUUCCGGUUGGAAUGACUUGAUCUCUCGGUUCCCAGGGGUAGAAGAAAGCUGCAGGCUCGUAAGCGCCCUGGCUGCCUCGGGCUACGAUGCGCUCCCCGCUCCAGCCCAGGACAGAGGACUGGCCUCGAGGGUGGCUCCUGGUUGGCGGACGAUGACGUCCUCGUCCUGCGGGCAGUGCAAGGGCGCCGCUCAGGGUGCCAGGAGCUGCUGAGCCGGUGGUGCCGCGCAGCAGCGAGCCGGGAGGGAAGGAAAAGAAGCAGCUCCAUCUAGUGUCCUCAGGAAACACGACCAAGGGCAGCGGGACGAUGAACCCCCUUCUGAGGGGCGAUCGCCCGUCUUCAUCUGGGAAAGAAUAUGACUGGAAAAGCAAGAGCUGCUAGGUUUGGGAAAAUAGCAGAAAGAAUAAGUCGACUUCGUCUGUGGCUGGGAAUGGAGCCAGGGAAGAGGAAGGAUAAGCUGUCUGAAGACCUUGCUUACCCGUGGCGAUGCAUGAACCAUCCGUCCUCAGACACACAGGCUCGUGUGUGGUCAUGAAUUCAAGCUCUGGGGACUCGGCAACAUCCAGAGGAACUGGAAGAGGCACAUGGACUCGGUCCUGUUCAUACGUGGCUUCUGAAGCGUUUGUAAGCAUUUGGCAAAAUUUUUCUUUCGUUCGUGAACUCCACAUCAAGCAACCAAUACAACCAUGGCCAUCUUCCCCCGAAGAACAUGAAUGUGUGGCCAUCUUCCCCAGAAUCGCGGACCCAAUUUAGCUUGUGAACAAGGUUCCACUCUACCGUCC